rnacentral:rRNA from 1 species
CUCUUUUUGUAUUAUUUAAAAGGUUUAGCCUGCCCUAUGAAUUAUUUUAAAUGGCCGCAGUAUUUUGACUGUGCGAAGGUAGCAUAAUAAUUAGUUUUUUAAUUGAAAGCUUGUAUGAAUGGUUGGACGAGAUAAUUACUGUCUUUUUUUAAUUAUUAGAAAUUAAUUUUUAAGUCAAAAAGCUUAAAUGAUUUUAAAAGACGAGAAGACCCUAUAAAGCUUUAUUAUUAUAAUUUUUAUUAUUUUAUUGAUUAUUUUAGUAAUAAUUUUUUUAAUAAUUUGAUUGGGGUAAUUAAAAGAUUAAUUUAAUUCUUUUUUAUUAUAUUCAUUAAUUUAUGUUUUAUUGAUCCAUUAAUAUUGAUUAAAAGAUUAAGUUACUUUAGGGAUAACAGCGUAAUUUUUUUGGAGAGUUCAUAUUUAUAAAAAAGUUUGCGACCUCGAUGUUGGAUUAAAAAAUAGUUUAGGUGAAGAAGCUUAAAUUGAUUGGUCUGUUCGACCAUUAAAUUUUU